AAAAAGUAAAUAAACAACUGUAUCUAACACAUUAAAUUUUAAUAACAAAAUAACUAAAUGGCUGCAGUAACCAUGACUGUGUGAAUGUAGCAUAAUCAUUAGCCAUUUAAUUGAUGGAUAGUAUGAAUGGCUAAACGAGAAUUUCACUGUCUUAUAAAGUAAUAAAGAAAAAUUAAAAUAACAGUUAAGAUGCUGUUUCACAUUGUAAGACGAGAAGACCCUAUAAAGCUUAACUACAACUUUCUAAAUUAAACUCAAAAUGAUUCAGACAAGAUAGGUAGUUUCAUUGGGGAAAUGGUCUUUAAGAAAAAACAAAGACGAACUAUAUCAAUAAAAAAAAAAUUUACUGUACAACUAAUAAGUUUAACAGUUACUAAGUAGGUUAUAACGACCCAUUAAAACCCCAAAAAGGGGUUAAUGACUAACAAAUAAAAGCUACUUUAGGGAUAACAGAAUAAUUUUAUUAUAGAGCCCACAUCAAAAAUAAAGUUUAUUACCUCGAUGUUGAAUUGAGAUACCCCAGUGAUGCAGAAGUCACUAAAGGUAGGUCUGUUCGACCUUUAAUAUCUCACAUGAUUUGAG
rnacentral:rRNA from 1 species